GAUACCUGAGGGUCAAAGGCGCAAGUCGCCUGUGGAGGAGCCUGCGUUCGAUUAGCUUGUUGGUGGGGUAAAGGCCUACCAAGGCGAUGAUCGAUAGCUGGUCUGAGAGGAUGAUCAGCCACACUGGGACUGAGACACGGCCCAGACUCCUACGGGAGGCAGCAGUGGGGAAUAUUGGACAAUGGGCGAAAGCCUGAUCCAGCAAUGCCGCGUGUGUGAAGAAGGUCUUCGGAUUGUAAAGCACUUUCGACGGGGACGAUGAUGACGGUACCCGUAGAAGAAGCCCCGGCUAACUUCGUGCCAGCAGCCGCGGUAAUACGAAGGGGGCUAGCGUUGCUCGGAAUGACUGGGCGUAAAGGGCGCGUAGGCGGUUUACACAGUCAGAUGUGAAAUUCCAGGGCUUAACCUUGGGGCUGCAUUUGAUACGUGUAGACUAGAGUGUGAGAGAGGGUUGUGGAAUUCCCAGUGUAGAGGUGAAAUUCGUAGAUAUUGGGAAGAACACCGGUGGCGAAGGCGGCAACCUGGCUCAUUACUGACGCUGAGGCGCGAG
rnacentral:rRNA from 1 species